AUUGAACGCUGGCGGCAGGCCUAACACAUGCAAGUCGAACGGUAGCACAGAGAGCUUGCUCUCGGGUGACGAGUGGCGGACGGGUGAGUAACGUCUGGGAAACUGCCCGAUGGAGGGGGAUAACUACUGGAAACGGUAGCUAAUACCGCAUAACGUCGCAAGACCAAAGUGGGGGACCUUCGGGCCUCACACCAUCGGAUGUGCCCAGAUGGGAUUAGCUAGUAGGUGGGGUAAUGGCUCACCUAGGCGACGAUCCCUAGCUGGUCUGAGAGGAUGACCAGCCACACUGGAACUGAGACACGGUCCAGACUCCUACGGGAGGCAGCAGUGGGGAAUAUUGCACAAUGGGCGCAAGCCUGAUGCAGCCAUGCCGCGUGUAUGAAGAAGGCCUUCGGGUUGUAAAGUACUUUCAGCGGGGAGGAAGGCGAUGUGGUUAAUAACCGCAUUGAUUGACGUUACCCGCAGAAGAAGCACCGGCUAACUCCGUGCCAGCCGCCGCGGUAA
rnacentral:rRNA from 1 species